rnacentral:rRNA from 1 species
CCUACGGGAGGCAGCAGUGAGGAAUAUUGGACAAUGGGCGCAAGCCUGAUCCAGCCAUGCCGCGUGCAGGAAGACGGUCCUAUGGAUUGUAAACUGCUUUUGUACAGGAAGAAACACUCCCUCGUGAGGGAGCUUGACGGUACUGUAAGAAUAAGGAUCGGCUAACUCCGUGCCAGCAGCCGCGGUAAUACGGAGGAUCCAAGCGUUAUCCGGAAUCAUUGGGUUUAAAGGGUCCGUAGGCGGUUUAAUAAGUCAGUGGUGAAAUCUGGUCGCUCAACGAUCAAACGGCCAUUGAUACUGUUAGACUUGAAUUAUUAGGAAGUAACUAGAAUAUGUAGUGUAGCGGUGAAAUGCUUAGAUAUUACAUGGAAUACCAAUUGCGAAGGCAGGUUACUACUAAUGGAUUGACGCUGAUGGACGAAAGCGUGGGGAGCGAACAGGAUUAGAUACCCUGGUAGUCCACGCCGUAAACGAUGGAUACUAGCUGUUGGGCGCAAGUUCAGUGGCUAAGCGAAAGUGAUAAGUAUCCACCUGGGAGUAAGUUCGCAAGAAUGAAACUUAAAGGAAUUGACGGNGNGAGAGNGCGAGACGACGACGAGGAGGAGG